rnacentral:rRNA from 1 species
GACGGAGGAUGCAAGCGUUAUCCGGAAUUAUUGGGCGUAAAGCGUCCGUAGGCGGUUUCAAAAGUCUGUUGUUAAAGCCCACAGCUCAACUGUGGAUCGGCAAUGGAAACUGUGAGACUAGAGAGUGGUAGGGGUAGAGGGAAUUCCUAGUGUAGCGGUGAAAUGCGUAGAUAUUAGGAAGAACACCAGUGGCGAAGGCACUCUGCUGGGCCGACACUGACACUGAGAGACGAAAGCUAGGGGAGCAAAUGGG